rnacentral:rRNA from 1 species
AUUGAACGCUGGCGGCAUGCCUUACACAUGCAAGUCGAACGGCAGCACGGGGCAACCUGGUGGCGAGUGGCGAACGGGUGAGUAAUGCAUCGGAACGUACCUUUCAGUGGGGGAUAACGUAGCGAAAGUUACGCUAAUACCGCAUAUUCUGUGAGCAGGAAAGCAGGGGAUCGCAAGACCUUGCGCUGAUUGAGCGGCCGAUGUCAGAUUAGCUAGUUGGUGAGGUAAAGGCUCACCAAGGCGACGAUCUGUAGCGGGUCUGAGAGGAUGGUCCGCCACACUGGAACUGAGACACGGUCCAGACUCCUACGGGAGGCAGCAGUGGGGAAUUUUGGACAAUGGGGGCAACCCUGAUCCAGCCAUGCCGCGUGAGUGAAGAAGGCCUUCGGGUUGUAAAGCUCUUUCGGCCGGGAAGAAAUCGCACGGGCUAAUACCUUGUGUGGAUGACGGUACCGGAAUAAGAAGCACCGGCUAACUACGUGCCAGCAGCCGCAGUAACAC